rnacentral:rRNA from 1 species
UGGGGAAUAUUGCGCAAUGGGCGGAAGCCUGACGCAGCAACGCCGCGUGCGGGAUGACGGCCUUCGGGUUGUAAACCGCUUUCAGCAGGGACGAAGCUUUUGUGACGGUACCUGCAGAAGAAGCACCGGCCAACUACGUGCCAGCAGCCGCGGUAAUACGUAGGUGGCGAGCGUUGUCCGGAAUUACUGGGCGUAAAGGGUGCGUAGGCGGCUAUUUAAGUGAGAUGUGAAAAUCCCGGGCUUAACUUGGGAACUGCAUUUCAAACUGGGUAGCUAGAGUGCAGGAGAGGAAAGCGGAAUUCCCAGUGUAGCGGUGAAAUGCGUAGAGAUUGGGAGGAACACCAGUGGCGAAGGCGGCUUUCUGGACUGUAACUGACGCUGAGGCACGAGAGCGUGGGGAGCAAACA